rnacentral:rRNA from 1 species
GUGGGGAAUAUUGGGCAAUGGGGGAAACCCUGACCCAGCAACGCCGCGUGAGGGAAGAAGGUUUUCGGAUUGUAAACCUCUGUCCUUGGUGACGAAGGAAGUGACGGUAGCCAAGGAGGAAGCCCCGGCUAACUACGUGCCAGCAGCCGCGGUAAUACGUAGGGGGCAAGCGUUGUCCGGAAUGACUGGGCGUAAAGGGCGUGUAGGCGGCCGAUUAAGUCUGGAGUGAAAGUCCUGCUUUCAAGGUGGGAAUUGCUUUGGAGACUGGUUGGCUUGAGUGCGGAAGAGGUAAGUGGAAUUCCCAGUGUAGCGGUGAAAUGCGUAGAGAUUGGGAGGAACACCAGUGGCGAAGGCGACUUACUGGGCCGUAACUGACGCUGAGGCGCGAAAGCGUGGGGAGCGAACAGGAUUAGAUACCCGUGUAGUCC